GACGAUCGCUGGCGGCGUGCUUAACACAUGCAAGUCGUACGGUAAGGCCCUUUCGGGGGUACACGAGUGGCGAACGGGUGAGUAACACGUGAGUAACCUGCCCACAACUUUGGGAUAACGCUAGGAAACUGGUGCUAAUACUGGAUAUGUGCUCCUGCUGCAUGGUGGGGGUUGGAAAGCUCCGGCGGUUGUGGAUGGACUCGCGGCCUAUCAGCUUGUUGGUGGGGUAGUGGCCUACCAAGGCGGCGACGGGUAGCCGGCCUGAGAGGGUGACCGGCCACAUUGGGACUGAGAUACGGCCCAGACUCCUACGGGAGGCAGCAGUGGGGAAUAUUGCACAAUGGGCGCAAGCCUGAUGCAGCAACGCCGCGUGCGGGAUGACGGCCUUCGGGUUGUAAACCGCUUUCAGCAGGGACGAAGCUUUUUGUGACGGUACCUGCAGAAGAAGCACCGGCUAACUACGUG
rnacentral:rRNA from 1 species